UAUUAUGCGUUGAAAGAAUCGCAGUAGUAACUUAUAUCCCUGUUGCAGAGAGCUGAUGGUUGGUGUGAAUCAGUACAUAUACAAGUGCGAAUUACAAUUCUGGAGCUUCUUUUUCGUAGUGCUGUGCGAGCAUGAAGGAAAAGACGGAUUUUUCCGUUAUUAGCAACUGAGAAGUAAGCAUAUUUUUGCUUACAAAUAGGGUGGUACCGCGAUUUUUUCGCCCCUAUC
rnacentral:ncRNA from 1 species